rnacentral:rRNA from 1 species
AACGGAGCCAAUCAAGCAGGCGGAGGCUGUCCGAGNGUGNGGACNGCCGCGGGGGGNGCAGGUCGAUCCAGGCGGAGGGACGCCGGGCAGNCCGCGGCGGGGCGCGCGGCGGCGGCGCCCCCGGGGCCCCCGGUAAUUNUUGCGUCGGAGUUUAAAUCAAAUCAAACAAAACUUUCAACAACGGAUCUCUUGGUUCUGGCAUCGAUGAAGAACGCAGCGAAAUGCGAUAAGUAAUGUGAAUUGCAGAAUUCAGUGAAUCAUCGAAUCUUUGAACGCACAUUGCGCCCCUUGGUAUUCCGAGGGGCAUGCCUGUUCGAGCGUCAUUACACCACUCAAGCCUGGCUUGGUAUUGGGUGCCGCGGGCCUCCCGCGCGCCUCAAAGUCUCUCCGGCUGAGCGGCUCCGUCUCUAAGCGUUGUAGGCAACUAUUCGCGGUGAGAGGGGGCGGCGCGGCCGUUAAACUUUUCUUAAAGGUUGACCUCGGAUACAGGUAGGGAUACCCGCU